GCUGGUUUGGCUCAGUGGAUAGAGCAUCAGCCUGCAGACUGAAGGGUACUGGUCUCAAUUCCAGUCAAGGGCA
rnacentral:tRNA from 1 species